UACGUAGGGGGCAAGCGUUGUCCGGAAUUACUGGGUGUAAAGGGUGCGCAGGCGGCUUUAUAAGUCAGAAGUGAAAGAUUUGAGCUUAACUGAGAAAUUGCUUUUGUUACUGUAGAGCUAGAAUGUGGUUGAGGUCAGCGGAAUGUGGCAUGUAGCGGUGAAAUGCGUAGAUAUGCCAUAGAACACCGAUUGCGAAGGCAGCUGGCUGGGAUUAGAUUGACGCUGAGGCACGAAAGCGUGGGGAGCGAACAGG
rnacentral:rRNA from 1 species